GUGAGGAAUUUUCCGCAAUGGGCGAAAGCCUGACGGAGCAAUGCCGCGUGAAGGAUGAAGGCCUAUGGGUUGUAAACUUCUUUUCUCAGAAAAGAAUUAUGACGGUAUCUGAGGAAUAAGCAUCGGCUAACUCUGUGCCAGCAGCCGCGGUAAGACAGAGGAUGCAAGCGUUAUCCGGAAUGAUUGGGCGUAAAGCGUCUGUAGGUUGUUUAAAAAGUAUUCUGUCAAAGAUUAGGGCUUAACCCUAGAUAGGCAGAAUAAACUUUUAAGCUAGAGUUUGGUAGAGGCAGAGGAAAUUCCCGGUGGAGCGGUGAAAUGCGUAGAUAUCGGGAGGAACACCAAAGGCGAAGGCACUCUGCUGGGCCAAUACUAACACUGAGAGACGAAAGCGAGGGGAGCAAAUGGGAUUAGAUACCCUAGUAGUCC
rnacentral:rRNA from 1 species